UGGUUUGUAAAUGUUUCUCACUUUCUUAGUUUAUAAAACAACAUGUAUUUAUUGGUAAGUAUUUUAUUUAAUUUGUAAAAAAAAUAGUCACACAUAAACGCACUAAUAUGAGUAUGUACAUGUUUUAAUUCAAUUAAGUUAUAGUCAGGGACAUACAGACAUAUCUAGUGAAUGAGUCACUAGGCUUAGAGUUGGACCAAUUCGCAUAUACGUAUGUACAUGGUCGAGUCCAACGUAGCCCAGCCUCUCACGUCGCUCUUGAUUCACUUCUCACAAACAAUUCCCCACGAGACCACGACUACACGCGACCUGGCUCCCUCCCGGCGAUGUGGCCGCCGCGCUGGGAUUCCAGCCGGUCGCCGGCCCCCUCCGCCGCCGCCACAAGUCGGCGAACCACUCGCUCGACCUCCUUCAUGGGUUCCUCGCCGCCAAGAUGCUCUCCUCCCCCACAUCGAUUCUCUCACGGGUAUGCGACGCCGUCGCCGCUUGGCAUUGGUCCGGCCGCCACCGCCGCCUGCUUACUCCGACGUAGGCGGGAUGGGAGUUUCGCUCGCGUCGACUUGCUCUACAACCCCCGCCUGUUUGAUUUGAUUUUCGUGGUUCCUCAAUUUCGUCCCUGGCCCCGGAACCCUAGCUCCGUCUCCUGUAUCUCCGGCUAUCGCCGGUCGAUUCCGGCGCCGCCUCUCCCCGUCUUGACGGCGCCACGGAACUCUCUACCAUUGCCCGCCUCCCUGGCGCCGUCCUACGCCCGCGCGCGCGGCCUGGUCCUCAUGGCCGCCCCGUCGCCAGGCAUGGCUCCGGCUGAUUUCGGCCUUCUCCGCCGCCGCUGCUCUCCAUUGGCGACCCCGCUAUCUUUACCUGCAGCUCCCCUUCACUGACUCAACUCAGCACCUGCCUCUCACGCUCGAUGGAAACCCUUGCUGCUGCUGGUGGUUCUGGCCAUCGCCGGCCUCGGCGAGCACCGCCGUUUGCGGUCGCGCCGCUUCUCUGGCUGCUCCCGCACGUCGACGAGCUGCUGCUCUGGCGUGGUCAUUUGCGCCUCCGCUCCUUGCUGUCAUUCGACCUCAUUACUGACCACUACCUCUGUUUCCCUCUUUGGCUCGCCAUGAUCUGACGGUGGUGAUGGUUCUAGUUGUGUGUCGACCACGGUCUUGACGCCGGCGGGACGGCUACUGGUGUGCAACCCCGGCGUCCAUGUACUGGUGGUGCUGUGCUGUGCUGUGCUGUGACCACUACUUCGUCCUCGACGCCGGCUGGACGGUGCCGUGGACGCAACCUCGGCAUCAACUAUUGUGCUUAUUUCUCUGCUGCAAUCACUGUGAGCGAAUUCACUCCCCUCUCACUAUGUCUCUGACCUUGUUUUAAUUUAAAUUGUACUAGUGGCUUAUCUCCCUCUAGUUGUUGGCUGUGAUACAAGCAUAUGUGCUUAAAAAUGUUUGGGUGACUUGGUACUGGUUAUGUGAUAUGCUAAUAAGGCUUUGCUCCAAGGGAUCUCCGCCAUGUGCUUGAUUGGUUGCUCCAGUUUAGUUGUUGUGGUCAUGAAUUUGUGUGUGCUAGGCCUGAUUAUCGCAUAUGCUUGGGAAUACUGAUUCAUGUGCUAUAUGACUUGUAAAUUUAUCAGUCAAGUACUUAUUCUAGUGAGCUAUAUCAUAUGUUUAAGAGUGGUUAGCUAGUAUGUGCUUUGUAAGUAUCCUAUAUGUUGCUAAAAUGCUGCAGUGCAUACUUUGGAUAAGAUCAGAUACACAUACUUGGAAGUACUGCUUGCAUGCUUCUUGAACAUUUGAAUUUGGUUGGUGGUGUGCAAAAUAUUGAGAUAUAUUCUCUGUGUAGAUGUUUUAACUCAUCUCUGGCAUUGGUAAAUGGCUGCUAUCUCACGGCUAAGGAAGCUGAAUAUCCACUACAAUAUGCACUAUUUACUUGAUGCUUGGUUGGGUGGUUUGACUGUGAGCUUAUGGCAUGCAUUUCAUACUGGAUUGAGAUGGUCCAUGAAUCAUUUUAUCGGUGUUAUGGAUUGGAAUAGAUAUGUGUAUGCUGCCCUCACAGAUGGUUUCUCUCGUUUUAGUUACAAACUGAAAAGAACAGAUCCUGUGCUGGAUUUCGUGGCCCUGCCUGUGAUGCAAAGGCUGAGGCACAAUUUAUUUGAUAAGAACAGAUACUGCUUGUGCCUUAAGUUCUCUGUGAUGAAUUUGAAUAGCACUUCUAUUCAAGACUGAGAGAAAACAAUCCCUCCAAUCCUCCUAGAUAGAAUCUGGUGCAAGGGUAGUUGGAUUGGUUGUCUGUGUAUUAUUUCUUUUUUUUUCCCCCCUUAUUGAUGUGCUCAUGCAAAACUAAGAACAGAUGCUAUGCUUAAUUUGUUGCCUAACAACCUGCUGUUGGAGAGUAGCUUUAUCUUGCUUGAUGUUGAUCUGGCUUUGUUUCUGAUCUUGGCUUCCACCUCCUCCAUGAGUUGUGCCUGCUCCUCCUGGGCUCUUAUUGUCACCAUGGUUCUCCUUGCAACUUUGGCUGUGAUCUUGAUACUGAUCUCCUAAAUGGUUGCCUAGGAAGGAUUUGUGGUUUUGGCUGUUGAACUGAAGUUGAUUUUCUUGUGGAUCAUGAGGUGUUCUUGCUGUUCUAACUACUGGGAUGGAACUGCGGGUGUGCUUUAGUGAAACCAAAGCCAAAUGGUUUGGCUGGCUGUGAUGCCCUUGCUUUUAUAGUACUGGGCUUCUGUCUGUGGUGUCGACAGCUAUGCCAUGCAAGCUGGUGAGUGUGCUGCUUAAGGAUGGACCCCACUUGUGCAUGUGGCCAAGUUGGUUUUCCUUGCCUGCUAGUGCAAGGCACGGCAGGGCUUGUGCUUAGCUAGAACUGUCAUGUAUUUUUGAUACUGCCAGAUGUAUUACUCCUAUUGAUCUGUUGGCAUGUGAGCUUAACAUUAUACCUCUGAACUUUAAUAUGUGGGCUAAUGGUUCAUCUUGACACUUUAAUGUCAUUGGUGGAUUACUUAAAUUAAAACAUGUGGGCUUUAUGGUUUCUAGCUAGAUUAGAGGGAGAUUAAGAUAAUAUAGCAUGGUUGCCUAGAAUUGAACGGAAUCAAUCAAUUGUUGUCUGCUUGUCCCUUGUUGCCUGAGAGAUGAUUAGUGAUUGUCAAUGAAAAUGCCUCGUUGUUGCCUUUUAUGGAAUAGUGAUCAGCCUUCUCGGAUUGUCUCUUGUUGCCUAUUAAAGAUUUACUCCCUCUAAUCACCGUUUGGGUAUUAAGACAAGUUCUUAAUUCCUAAUAGCUAGUUCCAAUAUUAAAAUGUCUCCCAAAAUGCGGAGACAGACAUUUUAACCUUAACACAACAUUUCUUUGUCUUUAUUGUUUAUUUUGCAGCUAGAGGAUAAGAAAAUUGGGAAGAUUUGGAAUAUGAAGAUUUAGUUUAGAAAUUUCUUGUAUUCAUUUAUAAUUUUCUAUUUCUUUUCUAACUUGUAAUUUAUUGAAUAAUGUUAUUUGUAAUAAAGUUUGAAUUAUUUA